GGCCCACUAGUCCAGUGGUUAGGACACUCGUUUCCGGAAGUUGUCCAGCGAGAGGUCGUCGGUUCAAGUCCGGCGUGGGUCG
rfam:Exidia glandulosa HHB12029 unplaced genomic scaffold EXIGLscaffold_637, whole genome shotgun sequence.